rnacentral:rRNA from 1 species
UACGGAGGGGGCAAGCGUUGUUCGGAAUUACUGGGCGUAAAGGGCGCGCAGGCGGCUGCUCAAGUCAGGCGUGAAAGGCCUGGGCUCAACCCGGGAAUUGCGCUUGAGGCUGGGCUGGCUUGAGUGCGGGAGAGGAUGGUGGAAUUCCCAGUGUAGAGGUGAAAUUCGUAGAUAUUGGGAAGAACACCGGUGGCGAAGGCGGCCAUCUGGACCGCAACUGACGCUGAGGCGCGAAAGCGUGGGGAGCAAACAGG